AGCUCCAAUAGCGUAUAUUAAAGUUGUUGCAGUUAAAAAGCUCGUAGUUGGAUUUCUGGUGCGAGGGAUCGGUCCGACCUUUUGGUGGGUACUCGUAUCCUCUCGCGCCAUCCUUGAGUGGAACCAUUCUGGCAUUAAGUUGUCGGAGUGAGAGCCGCUCAUCGUUUACUGUGAAAAAAUUAGAGUGUUCAAAGCAGGCUUACGCCGUUGAAUAUAUUAGCAUGGAAUAAUAAAAUAGGACUUUGGUACUAUUUUGUUGGUUUGCGCACCAAGGUAAUGAUCAAUAGGGACAGUUGGGGGUAUUCGUAUUCAGUUGUCAGAGGUGAAAUUCUUAGAUUUACGGAAGACGAACUACUGCGAAAGCAUUUACCAAGGAUGUUUUCAUUA
rnacentral:rRNA from 1 species